UAUUAUUUUCCUCAGUCUCGCCGUGACUUCCUUCCCUGUUUGGUCCCCUCCGCCUCCAUCGCCGGCGUCGAUCACCGGGCAGGAUAAAGCGCCGCUGCUCCCCGUCGGUGACGCCUUUUUACGUCUAUCUUCCCCGUAUCUCCGCCGGUUUCGUACCGCAAGAUUCGUUUUCUUGGUGAAGAAACGCUUCUUUUCGACUUGGUUUUUGUUCGAUUUGGUGGACUCUUCCACUGCUCGAACAAUGGAGCGGUGAAUGCGGAGGUGGGAAGCUUGAAAUCGUAGCUUCUCCGAAUCGUCCAGGAACACCAAGGGAGAUCCACUUGGAUCAGAGAUCAAACAGGAGAUUGGUGACUUUGGGAGCGGGACGAAGAUAAUAGACUUCGACUGGAAAAGCAUAAACUCUAAUCUCACUCAUAAGACCUACAGAGGCUACAAUCUGUGCCAAGCUGAUGUUCCAGAGUUCCAAUGGUGUGUAUUCUGAAUUAAUGCAGACUUGGACGCUGAGUAUUUUAUGACAGAAGUCAACGCAGCUUCAACCCUCCCGAUUCAUCCCGACCCAUUUUGAAUUAGAUUCGGUUCAAAGAGUAACACAUGACUCCUUUGACUGUUGAUGAGAUACGAUGGCAAAGAGACAGAGAAAAUUUACUUGGAGUUUCAUCUAAUAUCAUUUCGUAGGUUGAAGAUAUUUGUUUGUUGCAUGGUUUUUGAGGACUAACAUGAGACACAAUAGAAGAACAAUAUUGACUUGUACGUGUUGUUGCAGCGUCCUCAGUUGAUCUUCCUGCAGUUGAGCCUAAUCUCGCCGUCGGUGCCGGUGAGAGGACUAAUGUUCCCCAUGUUCACCAUGGCGGUAGCGAAGUCGCUGAAGAAGGCGUCCGUGUCUUGGGAAUAGGUGGUGACCAGGGAAUCGGUGGAUCCUCCAUUGUAGAGCUGCUGGUCCGAGUGCAGCAGGCCCUUCUUGCUCACCAGAUUCUGGAAGUAGGAGUUGUCGAAGACUGUGGGGGUCACGACAUCGAGAGGCGACAGUUUGUUGUCGCCGCCGGAGCUCGGGCAGUUGGCCUGCGUGGAGUUGGCGAACGAGGCGUUGAUAUUGGCCUCGUUGUAGAUCCUGUUGCGGUAUGAACUGCACUUUGCGCUCCCUAUUGUAUGCGCCCCUGUUGGAGAACAACGUUAAGGUGGAAGAAGAGACAUGUUACGAGCAUCGGACGCUCCGUUUACCUGAGAGUGCAACCAUGUCGGUGGCACUGAGGCCUUUACUGGAGAAAGAUGACAGUAGACCACUGAGGCUUAAUGUCGGCGGCGGAAGAUUACUGUUAGCCGCGCUGCGGCUCGCUGUCGUCGCGUCUCUUCUUCCUAAUUGAACUGUAUACGAAGGUCCACCGAGCUGCAAAAGUUGCAAUUCCAGAUUUGAUUGGCUUCA